rnacentral:lncRNA from 1 species
CCAAAUCCAUCUAUAAUCAAACCAUGGAAACCAAGGUCUUUCCAAAGUUAUGUGAGACCAACUAAAACCAUUUCAUGUUUCUUUAAGCAUUUAUGCAAUGCAAAGAGUCCAAGAAUUUUCAAGCUAUGUGACAAAAUCAUUCUCAUUGACAAUUUCAUAAAUAGGUUGAGGGAAUGCCAUUAUCAAAGCCAAAAUCAUCAAAUUUUGGGGCUCAACCAUCACAACUCCAUUAAAUCACCAUUCCC